rnacentral:rRNA from 1 species
GACGAACGCUGGCGGCGUGCUUAACACAUGCAAGUCGAACGGAAAGGCCCUGCUUUUGUGGGGUGCUCGAGUGGCGAACGGGUGAGUAACACGUGAGUAACCUGCCCUUGACUUUGGGAUAACUUCAGGAAACUGGGGCUAAUACCGGAUAGGAGCUCCUGCUGCAUGGUGGGGGUUGGAAAGUUUCGGCGGUUGGGGAUGGACUCGCGGCUUAUCAGCUUGUUGGUGGGGUAGUGGCUUACCAAGGCUUUGACGGGUAGCCGGCCUGAGAGGGUGACCGGCCAAAUUGGGACUGAGCUACGGCCCAGACUCCUACGGGAGGCAGCAGUGGGGAAUAUUGCACAAUGGGCGGAAGCCUGAUGCAGCACCGCCGCGUGCGGGAUGACGGCCUUCGGGUUGUAAACCGCUUUCGCCUGUGACGAAGCGUGAGUGACGGUAAUGGGUAAAGAAGCACCGGCUAACUACGUG